CCUACGGGUGGCAGCAGUGGGGAAUAUUGGACAAUGGGGGCAACCCUGAUCCAGCCAUGCCGCGUGUGUGAAGAAGGCCCUCGGGUUGUAAAGCACUUUCAGUGAGGAAGAACGCCUGGUGGUUAAUACCCAUCAGGAAAGACAUCACUCACAGAAGAAGCACCGGCUAACUCCGUGCCAGCAGCCGCGGUAAUACGGAGGGUGCGAGCGUUAAUCGGAAUUACUGGGCGUAAAGCGCGCGUAGGUGGCUUGAUAAGCCGGUUGUGAAAGCCCCGGGCUCAACCUGGGAACGGCAUCCGGAACUGUCAAGCUAGAGUGCAGGAGAGGAAGGUAGAAUUCCCGGUGUAGCGGUGAAAUGCGUAGAGAUCGGGAGGAAUACCAGUGGCGAAGGCGGCCUUCUGGACUGACACUGACACUGAGGUGCGAAAGCGUGGGUAGCAAACAGGAUUAGCUACCCCAGUAGUC
rnacentral:rRNA from 1 species